UCCUUCUGCUCCGUCCCCCAG
rnacentral:miRNA from 2 species